rnacentral:rRNA from 1 species
CCUACGGGCGGCAGCAGUCGAGAAUCAUUCACAAUGGGGGAAACCCUGAUGGUGCGACGCCGCGUGGGGGAAUGAAGGUCUUCGGAUUGUAAACCCCUGUCAUGUGGGAGCAAAUUAAAAAGAUAGUACCACAAGAGGAAGAGACGGCUAACUCUGUGCCAGCAGCCGCGGUAAUACAGAGGUCUCAAGCGUUGUUCGGAAUCACUGGGCGUAAAGCGUGCGUAGGCUGUUUCGUAAGUCGUGUGUGAAAGGCGCGGGCUCAACCCGCGGACGGCACAUGAUACUGCGAGACUAGAGUAAGGGAGGGGGAACCGGAAUUCUCGGUGUAGCAGUGAAAUGCGUAGAUAUCGAGAGGAACACUCGUGGCGAAGGCGGGUUCCUGGACAUUAACUGACGCUGAGGCACGAAGGCCAGGGGAGCGAAAGGGAUUAGAUACCCGAGUAGUU